rnacentral:rRNA from 1 species
AGCGAACGCUGGCGGCAUGCUUAACACAUGCAAGUCGCACGCCCAGCAAUGGGAGUGGCGGACGGGUGAGUAACGCGUAGGAAUGUGUCCAGAGGUGGGGGACAACCCCGGGAAACUGGGGCUAAUACCGCAUAUGAGCUGAGGCUCAAAGCAGUAAUGCGCCUUUGGAGCAGCCUGCGUCCGAUUAGGUAGUUGGUGGGGUAAUGGCCUACCAAGCCUGCGAUCGGUAGCUGGUCUGAGAGGACGAUCAGCCACACUGGGAAUGAGACACGGCCCAGACUCUUACGGGAGGCAGCAGGGGCGAAUAUUGGACAAUGGGGGCAACCCUGAUCCAGCAAUGCCGCGUGUGUGAAGAAGGUCUUCGGAUCGUAAAGCACUUUCGGCGGGGACGAUGAUGACGGUACCCGCAGAAGAAGCCCCGGCUAACUUCGUGCCAGCAGCCGCCGUAAGAC